rnacentral:rRNA from 1 species
UACGGAGGGAGCUAGCGUUAUUCGGAAUUACUGGGCGUAAAGCGCACGUAGGCGGCUUUGUAAGUUAGAGGUGAAAGCCUGGAGCUCAACUCCAGAAUUGCCUUUAAGACUGCAUCGCUUGAAUCCAGGAGAGGUGAGUGGGAUUCCGAGUGUAGAGGUGAAAUUCGUAGAUAUUCGGAAGAACACCAGUGGCGAAGGCGGCUCACUGGACUGGUAUUGACGCUGAGGUGCGAAAGCGUGGGGAGCAAACAGG